rnacentral:tmRNA from 1 species
GGGGGUGAUUGGCUUCGACGGGGAUCAAGAGGUCAACGAAGCGUGUCGAGCUCUCGGGGUCUCGUAAAACCCUCGGGAAAACAUUAAGUGCCAACGAACCAUUGGCUCUCGCGGCUUAAUUGACCGCGACGUUUCUCCAUUCCUCGCCUGUGGGUGUGGAAGAAGCGACGAUUAACGGGCUGGUCCAAAGCUGGUGCUCAGCGGCAGCGGACGAGAACUUUCUGGGCUAGCGGACGUUCUAAGCCGGUCGGUGGGCGUGGGCGAACGCGAAUAACAAAACAUCGGCUACACACGUAGGGUCGUUGCGCCAAAUGUCUUCGGACGCGGGUUCGAAUCCCGCCACCUCCACCA